rnacentral:rRNA from 1 species
UGGGGGAAUUUUGGACAAUGGGCGAAAGCCUGAUCCAGCAAUGCCGCGUGUGUGAAGAAGGCCUUCGGGUUGUAAAGCACUUUUGUCCGGAAAGAAAUCCUUGGCUCUAAUACAGUCGGGGGAUGACGGUACCGGAAGAAUAAGCACCGGCUAACUACGUGCCAGCAGCCGCGGUAAUACGUAGGGUGCAAGCGUUAAUCGGAAUUACUGGGCGUAAAGCGUGCGCAGGCGGUUUGCUAAGACCGAUGUGAAAUCCCCGGGCUCAACCUGGGAACUGCAUUGGUGACUGGCAGGCUAGAGUAUGGCAGGAGGGGGGUAGAAUUCCACGUGUAGCAGUGAAAUGCGUAGAGAUGUGGAGGAAUACCGAUGGCGAAGGCAGCCCCCUGGGCCAAUACUGACGCUCAUGCACGAAAAGCGUGGGGGAGCAAACAGGAUUAGAUACCCCUGGGUAGUCCACGCCCCUAAAACGAUGUCAACUGUUGUUGGGGAUUCAUUUCCUUAGUAACGUAGCUAACGCGUGAAGUUGACCGCCUGGGGAGUACGGUCGCAAGAUUAAAACUCAAGGAAUUGACGGGGUCAUAGCUGUUUCCU